rnacentral:rRNA from 1 species
AGUGAACGCUGGCGGUAGGCCUAACACAUGCAAGUCGAACGGCAGCACAGUAAGAGCUUGCUCUUACGGGUGGCGAGUGGCGGACGGGUGAGGAAUACAUCGGAAUCUACUUUUUCGUGGGGGAUAACGUAGGGAAACUUACGCUAACACCGCAUACGACCUACGGGUGAAAGCAGGGGAUCUUCGGACCUUGCGCGAUUGAAUGAGCCGAUGUCGGAUUAGCUAGUUGGCGGGGUAAAGGCCCACCAAGGCGACGAUCCGUAGCUGGUCUGAGAGGAUGAUCAGCCACACUGGAACUGAGACACGGUCCAGACUCCUACGGGAGGCAGCAGUGGGGAAUAUUGGACAAUGGGCGCAAGCCUGAUCCAGCCAUACUGCGUGGGUGAAGAAGGCCUUCGGGUUGUAAAGCCCUUUUGUUGGGAAAGAAAAGCAGCAGGUUAAUACCCCGCUGUUCUGACGGUACCCAAAGAAUAAGCACCGGCUAACUUCGUG